AUGCAUGAUGUCGAUCAAUUAUCUUAAGUCGUUAUGUCCGCAGAAGACCGGAGUGACAUUAGUGAGGAAAAACUUAACACUAUGCGUCGUUGGCUGCUGAAACAGAGCAUCACCGAGCUGCUGGAGCAUCGUCGGUGCUGUAACGGAGCUCGCCGUGUCGCGCGGAGCGUCGUCAGUGCUGCAAGGGAGCUUGCCGGCCCGCAGAAUAUUGUCUGUGCUGUAACGGAGCAUCAUCGGGCCAUCAAAACUUCGAGGGUCAUUCCCGAACUUAAACUUCUUCAGAACAAGCCCGUGUCCAGGAAAGGGGCAACCACAAACGCCAUCCUUUACAAAAAUCUCACAAUUUCUAUUGGUUCUUUCCUACACAAGUUUAAUCUAGUAUUUGCAACAUGCUUCAGGUAGUUGUUAUUGAAGACGACAUCCAACCAAGGCGAAAAUAUGCACAAAACUUUAAGUAUCCUGCAAAUGAUGAUAGUAUAGCCCUCACACUUCUAUGUAGGGACCUUCGAGGCCUUGCACAUGAAGCUUAGUUCACCUCUAAUUUAAUUGUUCUAUACUUUGAGUAAGUAAGUAAGUAUUGCUUUUUUGGAAUCUACUAUUUGUAGAAUCUACUUUUAUUCACUUUUCUCAUAACAACUAUGACUUUAACUUUAUUUACUGUAGUCGUCUGAAUAGGUUACUACCGCUGAAGGCUAUUGAAAAUCUUUAGGUGAUUUGGUGAGUUAGGAGUUGUAAUGGACAUGAAAGACUGCUCAUUGAGAACUACAUAUGAUUUUCCACUGAUUUUAUUUGUUGUCUUCUCAAAUUCUGAUGUACUUAAAAUUUGAGUUGUGGAGCCUAAAUUUUGGAACGUACGAGGAUGCACAUAGUUGGAACCAAUGAGAAAGACACAUAAGAGUUUAUGGCACCAGAACUCUUCACUGGCAAUUAUAAUGAGUUGGUGGACAUAUAUUCGUUUGGGAUGUGCAUGCCUGAAAUGAAAAGAAAAUGAUGGAAAAGACUUGGACCUUGCUCAAUGCUUGGAACUACACCUCUCCAAACAUCCUUGUUGCUUGAUGCCAAGAGGAUUUCUGCAAGAGGCUGGAACUAUGUUUCUCUACAGUUCUCCAUUCGGGCAUUUCUAUGAUUUGAGCUUUCUUCUGACAAAAUUGUGCUGGUUCUAGUUGUAAAACAUAUUUCCUAUUACAGAAGAGAAAGAGAGGAAGUAAAUAGGGGUAAGCCAAGGGCUAGCCUAAAAUCCCAAAAGGACUAUUUCCUGAGGUAUUUGUCGCCGGCCAACCUGUCAUCAACUGAGCGGUUGGUGCUUGAACAAUGACAUUCACUCGGAGGGAGUUUUGAUUAAAAGUUUGUGAAUUAUCAUGCAUGGAACAUGUAUACUUUGUAAAAAAUUCAUUGUAUUAUAUAUUAUAUAAAAGCGACAAAGUAGUGUUCUGGUCAUUGCUUUAG